rnacentral:misc_RNA from 1 species
UAAACAGACAUUUAAUAUCUUCACAUAAAGAAUCGCAAAUUAACCUAAAUUUAAUUCAAAAUAUUUUAUGUUUAGCAUUGGUUAAAUAAUUCGAAUUAACUCACAAUUCAAUGAGUCUAAAAGAACUCAAAUUCAAACGAUCCAAGUAUCACUCAUAGGCAUUGCGGAUUGGUUAAACUUCAUGGGUGUCUUUUGUACGUCUACUGUCAGAAUUUUGAAUAAUCCUGUCUCUUUUGGUGCGAUGCAAGGAAGUUUUACUCACAAAGAAAGAAUUUUGAGACAGUCAAAGAAACCCUUGAUUGGCUACAUUGUUUUCGCUGGCAGAUAUGCACGGAUUCAUCACUUAUAUCCCUAGCAACAACCCUGAG